GGAAGAACGAGGAAGAAGAGGAGGUGAUUGAAGGAGAAGAUCGGUUCGUUCAAAGGAGGAAAUCAAGCAAGGAUUUGAUAUUUGUUCAAGUCCAUUAAGAAGGGAGCCAAGGAAGAAGCAAGGGGAAGUUAGUACAGAAGAAAAAGCAAAAGCAAGAGCAAGUACUCCUAAGGGCAAGGGAGUAGUGAUCGGUGGAGUUUAAAAGUGCAGGAAGCUGGCGAUCAUUUGUACAUAUAUAUUUUGUUUAAAAUGCAUCUUAUUUUGGAGUAAAGAUAUAUAUUGUAUAUCUAUUUUGGUAUGUAAAUAUUCCUCCAUAAGGAGAUGACUAAGGGCAGAUAGAUCAUAAUGACUGCUAUUGAAGGAAAUGGUCAAAUUUUUUGAUAUAAUUAUUAUUUGGCCUAAAA